rnacentral:rRNA from 1 species
UACGUAGGUGGUGAGCGUUAUCCGGAAUGAUUGGGCGUAAAGGGUGCGUAGGCGGCCUGCUAAGUCCUGGAGUGAAAGGUACCGGCUCAACCGGUAUAGGCUCUGGAAACUGGCGGGCUAGAGAGCAGGAGAGGGCGGUGGAACUCCAAUGUGUAGCGGUAAAAUGCGUAGAUAUAUGGAAAGAACACCAGUGGCGAAGG